AACCUAGCACACCUGCGGUGUGUACCUGCGGAAGGAUCAUUACUGAGUGUAAAAACUCCCAAACCCAUUGUGAACAUACCACUGUUGCUUCGGCGGAUACGCCCCGGGCGCGCUCUUCACAGGGCGUGCCCCGGAACCAGGCGCCCGCCGGGGGACCGAAACUCUUGUUUUCUUAGGAUCUCUGAGUGUGAUUAUUAAAUAAAUCAAAACUUUUAGCAACGGAUCUCAGAUCGGAAGAGC
rnacentral:misc_RNA from 1 species